ACAGAUCGGGCCACACGACGGGGUGUUUAUUCCUCACAGUGCAAGGGACCGCUGCACAUAAUGUUGCAAGCAUGUACAUGUGAGUGCGCUGAGCACUUUGUCUGGUGUUACUCCCUCCGGACUGUUUGUUGCGUUUAGUGUAAGACACUGACAACAGGCUCGGAGUUCACUAUGUAAACUCAAGGCAGAAGGCAGAAGCUUUAUUCUGUGGUUCCCACACUCAGCGCUAACACAAUCCACAAAUUAGAUAAAAUAAAGGGUCAUCAUAGCUCAGUCCGACUCCUCCACCCACCUGUGUUCAAAAAUUAAACGUCAGAUCUGAGCUUCUCUGGCUCAAGUCAAACCCUGAAAAACAGCAUUAUACACUUGAUGAAAAACAUUGUGAUUGUAGUCAUCUGAAUUACUUCACCGUGUCCUAUUGUACGGUGAGGUUUUUGGGCGGAUGCUGUACUGUACCAAUGAGCUGCCAGUCCUUAAGACUUUCAUUUAUUGAGGUUUCCAGGUCAAGUGGGGAUCAGGGCUGAUCCUGAGGCUGAUUAGACCCACUGAAACGAUAGGGUCAAGAGAGACAGAUCUAAGGAAGCUGAAAGCAGUGAUGGAGCAGAGUCUGCCAGGUCAGGGCUAUUCAUCUACAUUAUAAUGUCAUGAUGAGAUUACUUCAACUACAAGGG